rnacentral:rRNA from 1 species
AUUGACGGACUGAAGGCUCUUCUCGAUUCCGUGGAAAGUGGUGCAUGGCCGUUUUGGUUGGUGGAUCGAUCCGUCUGGUUAAUUCCGUUAACGAACGAGACCUCGGCACUCCGAAUAGCGCGGCGGACGUCGCGGCCUCCGGGCCGUCUUCCGCACGAGCUUCUUAGAGGGGACCGUCCCCCCGCCGGGGAAGGAGGUGCGAGGCAACGACAGGUCUGUGAUGCCCUUAGAUGUUCUGGGCCGCACGCGCAUUACACUGACGCGUCCAACGGGUGACUCCCGACCCGAAGGGGCCGGGGAAUCCGCAAGGCGCGUCGUGAUGGGGAUUGAACGUUGCAAUUGUUGUUCACGAACGAGGAAUUCCUAGUAGGCGCGGGUCAUCAACCCGCGCCGAUUACGUCCCUGCCCUUUGUACACACCGCCC